rfam:Halomonas sp. STBG004 Ion019_assembly_c15, whole genome shotgun sequence.
CACCAACGACAGGGGCGCCGUUCAGCGGCUGAGAAGCACCCUUUGAACCUGAACCGGAUAACGCCGGCGUAGGGAGUCGUGGUGCUUACCAC